UACGUAGGGGGCAAGCGUUGUCCGGAUUUAUUGGGCGUAAAGAGCGUGUAGGCGGCCAGGUAGGUCUGGUGUGAAAACUCGAGGCUCAACCUCGAGAGGUCAUCGGAAGCCAUCUGGCUAGAGUCCGGAAGAGGAGAGUGGAAUUCCCGGUGUAGCGGUGAAAUGCGUAGAUAUCAAGUGGAACACCAGUGGCGAAGGCGAAUCCCUGGAAAAUACCUGACACUGAGGCACGAAAGCUAGGGGAGCAAACAGG
rnacentral:rRNA from 1 species